rnacentral:misc_RNA from 1 species
AAACCUCGGAUCGAGACUUCGACCUCGUCGGAGAUCGAUCUGGACUAUGGGAGUCUGCGGGCGAAGCCUGGCUUCGUCGGCUCUCCUCAAAAGCAUUAGCCGUGGGUGGUUAGCCUGGCAUGGCACGGCCUCUUCGACGUCAUAACGAUCGUCGUGGGCUGGAAGUGCGUGGCUCGACGGACCCAUGCUUCUCGAAUCUCGCGAGCCCGUCCCCCGCGACGGCCGCGCUCCAUCGAA